AUUUGUAUUGUGUAAUUUUGAUUUUGUGAAAAUAAAUUUUGGAUCGAUCUCCACUCUUCUGCUCAAGAAUCUUCAAAGGUUCCUUCAUCUAUACACUCAACCUUCUGACGUGUUGCUCCCAGCCUAGACUCUCAAUAAUCACAUUGUGAUUGUUUGGAUCUUGAAUUUAGUUUUGAAAGAGAUUUAUUUUAGUACCUGCCUUCCGAUUCAGUGCAAUUGAUUUGGCUUGAUCUCAAUGAGUGUUUUCAGCACAAGAAUUGCCCUCGCAUUUUUUAGAUUAAACGAGAUCUUGCUGCUCUGACUCAAAACCAACAUUCUGGCUUGAUGUAUUUCUCCAAGAUGAAGAGCCUUGGGAUGAGUACAUUACCUAGCGACCUGGAUGCACAUAUGCUAAAAAACUUGAUGCAUUUGUCCAAUAUGAAUAUCUCAUUAACUUUCUCAUAGGACUUAAUGAGAUUUAUGGACAUUCUCGAUCUUAGAUAUUGUCGAUGGAUCCUCCUCGCUCAGUUAAUAAAGUUGUUUCACUAAUCGCAUAAGAAGAACAACAGAGAUCUGUUCCUCUCUUAUCAUCUUCUCCUACGAUUAGUCUCUCUGUUAAUUACAUAAUCGCAACAUCCAAAAUUUCUUCAAAUGAUUCUUUUGGACCUGGAUCUAAUCGAUCUGUUCGCAUUGUGGAAUUUCAGGACAUACUGUGGAUCGCUGCUAUAAAGUCCAUGGAUACCCUCCAGGUUAUUGUACAAAAGGAGGACAACGUCAACCAUCCGCAAAAACUUCGGCUUUUCCGGUGAAUAACGUUAACACAAUUAAUACUACUCUACCUCCUAUUUCCAAUGUUAACAGCGUUGUGGUUACUGCCCCUCCAACUGGAACGACUACUCUGGAGAAACGUCAUGAGAUUCUUAAUAUGUUGCAGUCCAAACUUGCAGCUGUUAAAACACAUCUAAUGCCACUACUUCUUAUCUAGCAGGACAAGUUCACUUUGCAAACAAUUGGCAAGGGUAAAAACCAAGAGAAUGUGUAUGUUUUGGACCAAAGUCAAAGUGUUAUUGCACAAGAUUCAUCUAUUUGUGCAGCCUUUAUUUAGAAAGCGUCUGCUCAUCUAUGGCACUCCAACCUUGGUCACUUAUCAUUUACUCGAUUGAUUGCUUUGAAAAAUGUUGUGAAUUUUGAUAUUGUAGUCAUUCUGUCACUGAACCAUGUUUCAUUUGCCCUCUUGCUAAACAGAGACGUUUACCUUUCUUUUCUGAUAAUCAGUUGUCUAUGCAUCCAUUUGAUUUGCUUCAUGUUGA